AUUCAGUGAAUACUUAUAACUAAACACAUAACUAAAAAAGUUCAGUGUUCAAUAAAGUGCUUAGACGUAUCUAGGAAGCAGAAAAUCAGAUAAAGGCCGAAUUUUUAUACGCAGAAUAGUUUAUCUGUGCAACAAUUGUACAGAUUUUCGAUUUUCUUGAAGCACUUUGAUAUUAGCUUUGUGUUGCAGAUAUUAUUUUGAGAGAACAUUAUAAAAGAUGGAAAAGAUGUUGGCCCAGAAAUCAAACGGAUGAUGUGUUGUCAAGGAAUGUAAUAAAAAUAAUGUGGAAAAACGACACUUAUUUCGGUUUUCAAAGGAACAUGACAGAUGGUUGCAAUACGUGCGUGUGAAAGAUUGAAUUUGGAAGCAAUGGAUGCAGAAUAUACCCAUCGCGAUUAUCGAGUGUGCCACUUACAUUUCGAAGAAAAGUGGUACAAUGCAAGUAAGACUAGAGCUCAUCUUCAUCCAGAUGCAAUACCGACAAAGUUUUUUGAAAGGAAUAACGCAUCCAUUACGACAACAUUAGUAAAAGAGAAGAUAAAUGAUUAAAUACCUGUAGAAGACAAUAUUUGUAUUUCGGAACACGAAAAAAUAAACAGUAACUUACAGCCAAAAUCAUUCUUGCCUCUAGAGCAGAUCCUAAGAUGUGAUAUUGCUAAACCG